GCCCUAGUAACGGCGAGUGAAGCGGCAACAGCUCAAAUUUGAAAGCUGGCUCCGGCCCGCAUUGUAAUUUGCAGAGGAUGCUUUUGGUGAGGUGCCUUCCGAGUUCCCUGGAACGGGACGCCAUAGAGGGUGAGAGCCCCGUAUGGAUGGACACCAAACCUGUGUAAAGCUCCUUCAACGAGUCGAGUAGUUUGGGAAUGCUGCUCAAAAUGGGAGGUAAAUCUCUUCUAAAGCUAAAUACCGGCCAGAGACCGAUAGCGCACAAGUAGAGUGAUCGAAAGAUGAAAAGCACCUUGAAAAGGGGGUUAAACAGUACGUGAAAUUGUUAAAAGGGAAGCGCUUGUGACCAGACUUGCGCCGGGCAGCUCAUCAGGGGUUCUCCCCUGUGCACUCUGCCCGGCUCAGGCCAGCAUCGGUUCUCGUGGGAGGAUAAGAACAGUAGGAAUGUGGCCCCCUCUCGGGGGGGUGUUAUAGCCUACUGUACGAUACUCUCGCGGGGACCGAGGUUCGCGCUCCGCAAGGAUGCUGGCGUAAUGGUCAUCAGCGACCCGUCUUGAAACACGGACCAAGGAGUCGUCCAUUAGAGCGAGCGUUUGGGUGUAAAACCCGCACGCGUAAUGAAAGUGAACGCAGGUGAGAGCUUCGGCGCAUCAUCGACCGAUCCUGAUGUCUUCGGAUGGAUUUGAGUAAGAGUUUUAACGGACGGACCCGAAAGACAGUGAACUAUGCUUGUAUAGGGUGAAGCCAGAGGAAACUCUGGUGGAGGCUCGCAGCGGUUCUGACGUGCAAAUCGAUCGUCAAAUAUGAGC
rnacentral:rRNA from 1 species